UGGGGAAUUUUGGACAAUGGGCGCAAGCCUGAUCCAGCCAUGCCGCGUGAGUGAAGAAGGCCUUCGGGUUGUAAAGCUCUUUCGGCGGGGACGAAAUAUGCCGGGCUAAUACCCCGGUAGGCUGACGUUACUCAAUGAAGAAGCACCGGCUAACUCUGUGCCAGCAGCCGCGGUAAUACAGAGGGUGCGAGCGUUAAUCGGAAUUACUGGGCGUAAAGCGCACGUAGGUGGCGACGUAAGUCGGGUGUGAAAGCCCCGGGCUCAACCUGGGAACCGCAUUCGAGACUGUGUUGCUGGAGUACGGAAGAGGAGGGCGGAAUUCCCGGUGUAGCGGUGAAAUGCGUAGAUAUCUGGAGGAACACCUGAGGUGAAGACGGGUUGCUGGGCUGACACUGACGCUGAGGCGCGAAAGCCAGGGGAGCAAACGGGAUUAGAUACCCCUGUAGUCCCUGAGCGGGC
rnacentral:rRNA from 1 species